GUGAAUCAUCGAAUCUUUGAACGCACCUUGCGCUCCUUGGUAUUCCGAGGAGCAUGCCUGUUUGAGUGUCAUUAAUAUAUCAACCUCCUCAGGUUUCGACUUGUCGAGUGUUUUGGAUGUGGGGGGUCUUUUUGCUGGUCUCUUUUUGAGGUCGGCUCCCCUAAAAUGCAUUAGCGGAACAAUUUGUUGACCCGUUCAUUGGUGUGAUAACUAUCUACGCUUUUUGAGGUGAAACAGGUUCAGCUUCUAACAGUCCAUUAACUUGGACAAAUUUUUCAUUAAUGUGACCUCAAAAUCAGGUAGGACUACCCGCUGAACUUAAGCAUAUCAAUAAGGCGAGG
rnacentral:rRNA from 1 species